rnacentral:rRNA from 1 species
CUUACCAGGUCAAGACAUGGGCGUGAUUGACAGGCUAAUGACUUUUCUCGAUUCCAUGGAUGGUGGUGCAUGGUCGCACUUAGUUGGUGCAGUGAUUUGUCAGGUUUAUUCCGGUAACGAACGAGACCUCGGCCUUGUAAAUAGCUAUGCUGCUUACAGGGACAUUGGCGGCUACGCCAAGGAAGCUCGAGGCAAUUGCAGAUCUGGAAUGCCCUUAGAUGUCCUGGGUCGCACGCGUGCUACAAUGACGCCACGAACGAGCUUGCGUGAUGAAAGUUACGCAUAAUCAGCAGUCGGCGUCUUAAGGGAUAGUCUCUUGUAACUGUGGGACUCCAACUAGGAAUGUCUCGUAAGCACAAGUCAACAUCUUGUGUUGAUUACGUCCCUGCUCUUUGUACACACCGCCCGUCGCUCCUACCGAUCGAGUGUUUAGGUGAAUUUGAUGGACGUAAGGAAGUCAAAUAAACCUGAGCACUAGAGGAAGGAGAAGUCUAACCUGC